GUCUGGAGAGUUCCUGUGUGCAUUCUCCCAUCGAGGAACAUGCAGUGUUGUGGAUCAAAUGUGGGCCUUGCACGUGUAAGGGUGGCCCUGAAUACAAGCCAACCAUGGUGAUCAGGGAGGCCGCACUGUAACACCACUGGAGAAGGGACCUCGGUGCUGCUGUCAGCUGAUGGACGACCUUGCUUCCGGUUUCUCCGGGAAAACAGAAGCGAUCAGAAGAAACUUCCCCAGCCCCGCCCGCCUCCGCUCACCUGCUGGCAC